ACUAAUUCUAGCCCACAAAUUUACUAAUACUAAAUUAUUAAUAAUAUAAUAAAUAAAACAUUCACCUACCAUAAAAGUAUAGGAGAUAGAAAUUUUAAGUAUGGCGCUAUAGAGAAAGUACCGUAAGGGAACGAUGAAAGAAAAAAAUUAAAGUACAAAAAAGCAAAGAUUAUCCCUUGUACCUUUUGCAUAAUGAGUUAACUAGUAAAAACUUAACAAAAUGAAUUUCAGCUAAGUACCCCGAAACCAGACGAGCUACUUAUGAACAAUUUACCAAGAACCAACUCAUCUAUGUGGCAAAAUAGUGAGAAGAUUUGUAAGUAGAGGUGAAACGCCUAACGAGCCUGGUGAUAGCUGGUUGUCCAGAAAAUGAAUAUCAGUUCAGCUUUAAAAAUACCAAAAAAAAAAAGAAAUAAAUUAUACUGUAUUUUUAAAAGUUAGUCUAAAAAGGUACAGCCUUUUAGAAACGGAUACAACCUUGACUAGAGAGUAAAAAUUUUCAAUACCAUAGUAGGCCUAAAAGCAGCCAUCAAUUAAGAAAGCGUUAAAGCUCAACAAUAAAACCAUAUUAAUUUCAAUAAUUAACAAUCAACUCCUAACUUAAUACUGGACUAAUCUAUAAGAAUAGAAGCAAUAAUGUUAACAUGAGUAACAAGAAGUUCCUUCUCCCUGCAUAAGUUUAAGUCAGUAUCUGAUAAUAUCCUGACCAUUAACAGCAAAAUAAGAAUAACCCAACUAUAGAUAACUUAUUAAUUCCACUGUUAAUCCGACACAGGAAUGCACUCAAGGAAAGAUUAAAAGAAGUAAAAGGAACUCGGCAAACACUUAAACCCCGCCUGUUUACCAAAAACAUCACCUCCAGCAUAACUAGUAUUGGAGGCACUGCCUGCCCAGUGACAACCGUUAAACGGCCGCGGUAUCCUGACCGUGCGAAGGUAGCAUAAUCACUUGUUCUCUAAAUAAGGACUUGUAUGAAUGGCCAAACGAGGGUUUUACUGUCUCUUACUUCCCAUCAGUGAAAUUGACCUCCCCGUGAAGAGGCGGGGAUAUAAUAAUAAGACGAGAAGACCCUAUGGAGCUUUAACUACUUAACCCAAAGAAAUAGACUUAACCACCAAGGUAAUAACAAUAAUCUCUAUGGGUUAACAGUUUUGGUUGGGGUGACCUCGGAGAACAAAAAAUCCUCCGAGCGAUUUUAAAGACUAGACCUACAAGUCACAUCGCACAAUCGUUUAUUGAUCCAAAAAUUGAUCAACGGAACAAGUUACCCUAGGGAUAACAGCGCAAUCCUAUUCAAGAGUCCAUAUCGACAAUAGGGUUUACGACCUCGAUGUUGGAUCAGGACAUCCUGAUGGUGCAACCGCUAUCAAGGGUUCGUUUGUUCAACGAUUAAUAGUCCUACGUGAUCUGAGUUCAGACCGGAGUAAUCCAGGUCGGUUUCUAUCUAUUAUGUAUUUCUCCCAGUACGAAAGGACCAGAGAAAUAAGGCCAACUUCAAACAAGCGCCUUAAGCCAAUUAAUGAUCUCAUCUUAAUUAAACUCGCAAAUACUCUGCCCUAGAAAAGGGCUUU
rnacentral:rRNA from 1 species